rnacentral:rRNA from 1 species
CCUACGGGAGGCAGCAGUAGGGAAUCUUCCGCAAUGGACGAAAGUCUGACGGAGCAACGCCGCGUGAGCGAAGAAGGUCUUCGGAUCGUAAAGCUCUGUUGUCGGGGAAGAAAAAUAACGUUAGGAAUGGCCGGUACCUUAACGUUACCCGCCGGAAAAGCACCGCCUAACUACGGGCAAGCGGCGGCGGUAAUACGUAGGUGGAAAGGGUGUCCGGAAAUAACGGGGCGUAAAGCGGGCGCAGGGGGUCCUUUAGGUCUGAUGUGAAAUCUUGCGGCUCAACCGCAAGCGGUCAUUGGAAACUGGGGGACUUGAGUGCAGAAGAGGAAAGCGGAAUUCCACGUGUAGCGGUGAAAUGCGUAGAGAUGUGGAGGAACACCAGUGGCGAAGGCGGCUUUCUGGUCUGUAACGGACGCUGAGGCGCGAAAGCGUGGGGAGCAAACAGGAUUAGAUACCCGUGUAGUC